AGGGGUAAACUGAGAACCCGAAAGGUCGAAGGGAGAAAUUCAUUCGCGUUUCAAGGUGUUCAGAGUAUGUUCGACACGGUGGUGCAGAGUGACGGCGUUUUCGGACGUUUAGCUACUCUAGUUUCUGCUCGUUUUGUCAAUGUACGGUAUAACUGGCUUUGAACGCGUGCACUUUUCUCCUGGUAGGACGUCGCGAUCUGUUGGGCGUCGGUCUACGGUUCGGGGUGGAGACCGUUUGUGUGUCGUUUCGGCGGCAUCGAAUGGACCCUCGUUUCCUGGCCGACUCGCUCGACAGUAUAAGAAUGGUUUAGGGCCGCUCAUUUUGGAGCGUUCGGCAUUCGGCAAGCACUUCGGAUGAUGUUGGCUAUCGGACCUAGUGCCGAUUCUGACCUCCGUCGACUGUUGGCCGAAUUGUUCUCGAACAGUGCUCUCAUUUUUUUAUGAAAACCGAUCUGCGGCGCUAUAGCUUUGGGUACUUUCAGGACCCGUCUUGAAACACGGACCAAGGAGUCUAGCAUAUGCGCAAGUCAUUGGGAUAUUCAAAUCCUAAAGGCGAAAUGAAAGUAAAGGUUUUUGCUCUUUGGCAUUAACCGAGGGAAGACGGGUGGUAUUCUCUACCCUUAAAAGUGGGGCCGUUCCGCAUUCCCGGGGCGUCUCGUUCUCAUUGCGAGAAGAGGCGCACCAAGAGCGUAUACGCUGGGACCCGAAAGAUGGUGAACUAUGCCUGGUCAGGACGAAGUCAGGGGAAACCCUGAUGGAGGUCCGUAGCGAUUCUGACGUGCAAAUCGAUCGUCGGAACUGGGUAUAGGGCGAAA
rnacentral:rRNA from 1 species